rnacentral:ncRNA from 1 species
CUCGUGUCGUAAGUAACUUGCGACCUAUAGGAGUGAUCCUAUAGAAAAAUCUAGCUUAUAACGGUGGAACCCUAACAGAAUAACGCUGAGGGCAAUACCGUGGGAAGUUCAUUACAUAAUGUAUAUAACCCCGUAACGACUUCGAUAUUUUAUCGGGAUAACAAUUAUUGCCUUGAAUAGAGGUAAAUUUAGGAUUGUUAUAAUACGCUAGCUCUUACUUUAGUAAGAUGAAGAUAUAGUCUAAACCCUUAAGAAAUUUUGGG